GCGACCCCAGGAUGGCGAGACCA
rnacentral:rRNA from 1 species